rnacentral:lncRNA from 1 species
CUUUUUCUAAAAAUGAGGAUACUCUUUAUAUGGCCUUCCAAAUACCGUUUCGAUCCCCAAAAUCACUGAAGAGACAUAAAUUGUCGCAAUCCGGAUCUGGUGUACUAAAAUAUAUUGACACCGUAUGUUUGUGUCAUAACAUCGCGGCCACAAGUUUAAAAAGUUUUUCUGUUUAGUAUUAAAUUUAUUUUAAGAUCCAUUUUGUUACAUCUUGUGAUCAAUUUUAUUUGGCAAUCGCCAAUGGCAGUCAGCAGAGUUAAAGAACAUCAGUUGUUCGACCUGUUAGUCAAAUGCGUUUUGUUUAAAUAUACUUUUUCACUUUUUUGGUAUUUUGUAAAAUGUUGUUUGUGCUGUUUGUAGACCCUUCUACAACGAAAUUUGUUUAACAUGCACACGUAUAAAAAUUGCGGUUUUUAUCCAACGC